UACAGAGGGGGCAAGCGUUGUUCGGAAUUACUGGGCGUAAAGGGCGCGUAGGCGGCCUUCUAAGUCGAACGUGAAAUCCCCGGGCUCAACCCGGGAACUGCGUCCGACACUGGAAGGCUUGAAUCCGGGAGAGGGAUGCGGAAUUCCAGGUGUAGCGGUGAAAUGCGUAGAUAUCUGGAGGAACACCGGUGGCGAAGGCGGCGAACUGGACCGAUACUGACGCUGAGGUGCGAAAGCGUGGGGAGCAAACAGG
rnacentral:rRNA from 1 species